GUCUAACUUGUCGGGCAGAGACAAG
rfam:Soil-borne cereal mosaic virus RNA1 complete genome